rnacentral:tRNA from 1 species
CAAACUUAAAGCUACUUUAUACAAAAAACGUAACUAAUAGAGAUUUUAAGUUAUAUAAACUA